AGAGUUUGAUCCUGGCUCAGAACGAACGCUGGCGGCAGGCUUAACACAUGCAAGUCGAGCGCCCCGCAAGGGGAGCGGCAGACGGGUGAGUAACGCGUGGGAACGUACCAUUUGCUACGGAAUAACUCAGGGAAACUUGUGCUAAUACCGUAUGUGCCCUUCGGGGGAAAGAUUUAUCGGCAAAUGAUCGGCCCGCGUUGGAUUAGCUAGUUGGUGGGGUAAAGGCUCACCAAGGCGACGAUCCAUAGCUGGUCUGAGAGGAUGAUCAGCCACACUGGGACUGAGACACGGCCCAGACUCCUACGGGAGGCAGCAGUGGGGAAUAUUGGACAAUGGGCGCAAGCCUGAUCCAGCCAUGCCGCGUGAGUGAUGAAGGCCCUAGGGUUGUAAAGCUCUUUCACCGGUGAAGAUAAUGACGGUAACCGGAGAAGAAGCCCCGGCUAACUUCGUGCCAGCAGCCGCGGUAAUACGAAGGGGGCUAGCGUUGUUCGGAUUUACUGGGCGUAAAGCGCACGUAGGCGGACUUUUAAGUCAGGGGUGAAAUCCCGGGGCUCAACCCCGGAACUGCCUUUGAUACUGGAAGUCUUGAGUAUGGUAGAGGUGAGUGGAAUUCCGAGUGUAGAGGUGAAAUUCGUAGAUAUUCGGAGGAACACNUUGUAAAGCUCUUUCACCGGUGAAGAUAAUGACGGUAACCGGAGAAGAAGCCCCGGCUAACUUCGUGCCAGCAGCCGCGGUAAUACGAAGGGGGCUAGCGUUGUUCGGAUUUACUGGUCGUAAAGCGGAUGUAUGCGGACUUUUAGGUCAGGGGUGAACUGCCGGGGCUCAACCCCGGAACUGCCUUUGAUACUGGAAGUCUUGAGUAUGGUAGAGGUGAGUGGAAUUCCGAGUGUAGAGGUGAAAGUCGUAGAUAUUCGGAGGAACACCAGUGGCGAAGGCGGCUCACUUGACCAUUACUGAGGCUGAGGUGCGAAAGCGU
rnacentral:rRNA from 1 species